UCACGAUGGAAAGAAAAUAAUUAAAACACUUAGGUGAAAAACGCUACCCUUCGUAAGUGGGAAGUUGAUAAUUGUUCCCAAAUUGUAGAAAAUGUCAGUACGCAUGAAAGGCAUGAAACACACAUCCUGUUCAGGUAAGUCACACCUGGUCACAUCAUUUGGACGUUUCGUGCAACAAGAACUCUGAGCAAGUUGAAUCAUAUAUUAAUUUCAUCGCACGUAUAAUGCAGGGGUAGAAGGGGUGGAUCAUAAAUCGCCCCCCACCCUCUCAAACCCACCCAAACCCCCCCAAACUUGCAGGGCUCGCGCCGCACUUUCCAUUCGCUCUCGCGCACAGGCAGCCGUGUGAUGAAGUUCUGCUCUUCUCUCACACCUUCUCAUCCUGUGGAUGGAAUAAGAUGCUUUCAAACGACGAUGCCUCGUGCAUCUCCAGCAAACCAGUCUUGGAAGGAUUUCUAAUCGAGGAUGUUCGUUUAUCCGUUUCACAUCCAGAUGAGCGCUUUUUCGGUGCCAUGGGGAGUCCGAGGAGAAUAGGCAGCUGGAGCUCGGAGUCGCCCGCAGGAGGAAGUGGAGGCAGCGCUGCCUCAUGAGGCUGAUGCAACAUGAGGGAUGGGAGACAAAUGAAGGAUGCAAAAGGAAUCACGGGAGGGAUGUGAUCUGGAUACUUUCAUAUCACUUCAGCGAUGGUGAAAAUAGCAUCAAUCAGAGCUCGCAUAUCAUCAUACGAAGAUGCAGAAGAUGGUGCAAUCAAAUGGUAAAAAAUAUAAAAUAAAUUAAAAAAAAUUCCUUAAAAGGUAAUAUGUGUAAAACUGCAUUUUUUCAAUUCAAAAUAUAUUUGAUCCAACACCGCCGCUCAAAAGUUUGGGAUCAGUAAGAUUUUUAAUGUUUUUAAAGAAGUUUCUUCGGCUCAUUAAGGCUGUAUCUAUUCGAUCAAAAAUACAGAAAAAAAACUGUUAUUUUGUGAAAUAUUACUGCAAUUUAAAAUAACAGUUUUCUAUUUUAACAUACUUUAAAAUGUAAUUUAUUUCUGUGAUGCAGCGCUGAAUUUCCAGCAUCAUUACUGCAGUCUUCAGCGUCACAUGAUCCUUCAGAAAUCAUUCUAAUAUGCUGAUUUAUAAUCAAUGUUGAAAACCAUUGUGCUGCUUCAUAUUUUUUGGGGGACCUGUGAUUAUUAUAAUUUUUUUUUUUAGGAUUCUCUGAUUAAUAAAAAGUUAAAAAGAACAGCAUUUGUUUAAAAAUAUACAGUGCUAUUCAAAAGUUUAGUAUUUUUUUUUUUUUUAAAGAAAUUAAUAAUUUUAUUCAGGAGGGAUGUGUUAAAUGAAUAUAAAGUCAUAGUAAAGACUUAUAUUGUUAGAAAAGAUUUCUAUUUUGAACAAAUGCUGCUGUUUUUAAAUUUGUAUUCAUCAAAGAAUCAAAGAAAAAGGUAUCACGUUCCAAAAACAAUAUGAAGCAGCUCAACAGUUUCAACACUCGUAAUAAAUCAGCAUAUUAGAAUGAUUUCUGAAGGAUCAUGUG